rnacentral:snRNA from 1 species
GCGCUUCCUUCACCAGCACAUACACUAAAACUGGAAAUGAUACAGAGACGAAUAAGCAUGGCCCCUGCACAAGGAUGACAUGCAAAUUCGUGACGUGUUCCAUUUUUUU